rnacentral:rRNA from 1 species
AUGGUAAUGGGGGUCGCCUCCCUCCUCCCUCCCCUCGACGCCCUCCAUGGCAGCUGGAGGUGGGCAAGUCCGGCAAGGCAGUGUGCACCGAAUGCCAUGGGCGCAAGUCGGAAGCUGCAGGGCGAGAUCGACCGCGUGCUCAAGAAGGUCCAGGAGGGCGUCGACGUCUUCGACAGCAUCUGGAACAAGGUCUACGACACCGCGAAUGCGAACCAGAAGGAAAAGUUCGAAGCGGACCUCAAGAAGGAUAUCAAGAAGCUGCAGCACUACCGCGACCAGAUCAAGACCUGGAUCCAGUCCAGCGAGAUCAAGGACAAGAAGAUGGAGCAGGAGCCCUCCAUGGACGACAUCGACGAGGAGGAAAUCGACUCCCCAAACAAGAAGAAGUGGAGCAAGGGCAAGCAAAAGGAGAAGGUGAACAACACGGUGAUCUUCGACCAGGCCACCUACGACAAGCUGCUCACCAAGGUGCCCAAGUACAAGAAGAUCACGCCCUCCGUCCUGUCCGAGCGACUCAGGAUCAACGGGUCGCUGGCUCUCAGGGCCAUCAAGGACCUAAUGGAGAGGGGACUCAUCAGGAUGGUGUCAAUCUAG